UUCCUUCCUCUCUCUCUUUGAUCUUCUCCACAUCCAAGAAUCAAGAAACCUAGGGUUUCUUGGCCGCCACCCCAAAAAGGAAAGAAAGGAGGCUCUAGAAACCAGUGCCCCCCUUUGUGCAUGUCCCUAUUUUGAGCUCCCCCUCUUGGCCAUCCAAGAAGAGUUUCAGGUCUUAUAUUUUUAUUUUUUGGAGGUUUCAUCAAGAGUACUUUUAGAUCUCAAAAGA
rnacentral:lncRNA from 1 species